CCGAUAACUGCUUCUCCAGCCGCCAGAAGACACAGAAGAAGACUGUUUUCUUCUGUGACAACUGCUAUCUGACCAAGCUAAUCAUUUCAACGUUACAAUAUUUCAUAGUUAGAACAGAUUGUGUUAAAAAUAAAAGCUGGUGGCAGUGUCGGAUUUUGAAGUUGUAAAACGCCGUUCUGCUUCAAAACCUGAGAGGUGUUAUAAUGAGAUCAGCAGGAGACAGACCACGCUCCUCCAGGAAGUCUCGAGCUCCUGAUCCUGCUCCUUCACAGCUGUCUGAGGAGGUGACGGAGACUUCAGCUGCAGGGACAUCAGGCAAAGUGGACCAGCAGAAUAGAGGAGUCCAUCUAAAGCCAACACCUGACGGCGGUGUGAAGAAAGAGGAGUCGCUGGAGCUGAACGGCUACAACCAUAAAGAUGACCUGAACAACACACCUGACGUUAUCUCCAUAAAAGUGGAAGAAGAUGACACUGAAGACUACCUCUACUGUGAGGUUUGCAAAUCCUUCUUCUUCAACAAGUGUGAGGUUCAUGGACCGCCCCUCUUCAUCCCUGACACUCCUGUUCCCAUGGGAGUCCCUGACCGAGCCAGACAAACUCUUCCUCGUGGACUAGAGAUUCGGAAGUCCGGUAUUCCUGAUGCAGGUCUGGGAGUGUUUAAUAAGGGGGAGACUGUUCCAGUAAGUGCAUACUUCGGACCCUACCAAGGAGAGCUGGUAGACAGUGAGGAAGCCAGUGGAUACUCCUGGGUGAUAUACAGGAGCAGCCAGUGUCAAGAAUACAUAGAUGCCAAAAGAGAGAUGUAUGCUAACUGGAUGAGGUAUGUGAAUUGUGUUCGUAAUGGUGAAGAGCAGAAUCUUGUGGCGUUUCAGUAUCAAGGAGGGAUUCUGUAUCGUUGCUGUCGACCCAUUGACCCAGGACAGGAGCUCCUGGUGUGGUACGACGAGGAGUACCCUAAAGAUCUCGGCUCUACGUUUGACUCACUCUGGAACAAAAAGUGCUCUGCAAAUGUCUUCUCAACUUGCACCAUGUCGGAUCUCUUGUGCAUCUUGGAUCUAUGUGACCUAUGGUCAGAUCUACAGGUAACCUGUCCUCUAAAGCUGGUGAUAGAUUGCCAUCAUCUAUUCAUGGCUGUGGAUCAGUGCCUUGUUCAUGAUAUGGCUGCGUCACACACACUGAUGAUGAGAACCACAGGAGAGAAUAACAUGGUUUCUUGCAGGUCUGCCCCUACACACCAUCUGAGCCCUGCAAAUGAUCCAGAAUUGAUCCAGCUGGACAAAUGUUGUUCAACCUGUCCAAGUUCUCCAUCACCCCAUUGUUGCGUUCCCUUCACUGGCUUCCUGUAGCUCCUGCAUCAGAUUUAAACACCGAUGUUCACCUACAAAGCAGCUCCCACUUACCUUAAAGCAAGUCUGCACCAUGCUCCCUCCGAGCCACCCAACAUCUCUCAGGGUAUGAGUAAAAUCUACAUCAACACCCUUCUCUAUCCUGCACCCAGGUGGAGAAAUAAACUUCCCCUGGCUGACUGAACAGCUGUAAGUGAAUUUAAUGCAAUUGAUUCUAUAAUGUCCUCUAUUUAAACCAGUAAUGCAUAUAAACAGCAUAUGAUCAUGUGUGACACAAACCCACCAAGUCACUCGUCUCAAGUUUCUGGCCAUCUAGAGUUUUGCCAUGUUCGAAACAAAAAAUAUAGCAUUACAAAUGUCACCCAGAGAAUGUAAUCCCUUCUGGAUAGGGCUCUAGGCACAUGGUUUUCAUUUAAUGUCACCAAUACACACUGCCUGGCUAUCAUUAGUUAAAUGUAAAUAAAUAAUCACAUAUUUGCGUUAAUGAAAAGAAAUGAAUUGAUAUAGUCUCAGUUUAAUUCAGAGACUAAAAUAUUUUGUUUGUAUUUGUAAUAUUUCACUUAAAGAUUAAUUACACCCAAAGCCUAUUUUUAAAAUGACUUGUGUAAGAAUAAAUAAUGUUAUUAGAGUUUCUAGAACAUCAUGUAUCAUAUCUAAACUGUUAAAAGAACAUAAGAAUUGUCUUUAGCUCAGAGUGUGCUGUGCCUCCUCUCACUGAAAUACUGAAAUGGGCAUGAAAUACUUGUAGAAUCACAAUUUUUGUGGCUUUAAUUUUGUAAAUAAUUUUUCAAACGAUAUUUAUUUUUUUCCACGCUUCAAUAUAACGGACUAAUUAGUGUACAUUCAUGAUAUAAAACUUUUAACCCUACAAUAUGUUAGAUUUGUGUUAGUCCUGACCUGGUCAUUAAAAAUAAUUCAUGUUUUUAGUGUUGCAGGUUCCCAAACCUGCCCUGAUGAGGUUGUAUCCAUAACAGUUCAGUAUGAUGAGUUUCUUUGCGCUGUAUAACUCUAAUAAUGAAAACUGGACAAUCUUUCUUUCUCCAAUUACACACUAAAGACAACUUGAUAAACAUUUCCAGUCCUCCAUUUUUUUUCUGUCGUGCCCCAUCCAUCUCAGAUUUCCAUCCACUCUGUUUUGUAAAGUAGGGAAAGUAGGAGGAGGUGUUUACAAUAAGUCAACAAGUCUAAAAGAAGAUAAAUAGUAAAUCAGUUUGUCAGAUACUACAGAACGUCUCUGUAGGAAACUGAAGUCUAUAAACACUGAUAUUUUACCUCCUUCACAUUUCAGUGAGUUCCCCAACAACACAUCAGUGAUGGAGCAGCGUCUGUUCAUACUCCUGUUUUUCACAGGAUUCACCCCGCUCGUCCUUUCUGUUCCUCGUAAGUACUAUCUGAUCCAGCAGCAGAAAACAUGGAGUGAGGCUCAGGCUUACUGCCGAGCCACACACGAUGACCUGGCUAUCAUAGAAAGUAAUGAUAACAUGGUCCGACUUCAGAAUGAAGCACAGAGACAACAUUUCAGUUCUAGUGCUUGGAUUGGACUGUACGAUGCCGUCAAUAGCUGGCGCUGGUCCAUGGGAAAUGAGACACUGGGAAGCAUGAGACUGUGGUCUUCACCAGAGCCCAACAACUAUGCUGGAAUAGAAUCUUGUGGUCUGAUGUAUUCAACGGGUUGGAAUGAUAUGCCAUGUACAUUGAGAUAUCCCUUUGUGUGCUUUGAUGGCAAUAAAACUGGAAAUCAAAGUUACAUUUACAUCUCUUAUGCACGAUCAUGGCCUGAUGCUCAGCGUUACUGCAGACAGUAUCAUACAGAUCUGGCCAGCAUUAGAAAUUCAACAGAAAACUCAAUUAUACUGGGCCUGAUCUCUGGGGCCAUUUGGUUUGGUCUGUUCAGAGACACCUGGAAGUGGACAGACCAAACCACCUUCUCUACCAUUAGCUGGAUGCCUGGAAAACCUGAUAAUGCCCUGAAGAAUGAAGCCUGUGGUUAUUUAAAUAACGGUCAGGUUGCUGAUGCACAGUGCUCAGCUAUAAUGCCUUUCUUCUGUCACUCAGCAAUAACGGGAAGAAGACAAAUCUUAAGGAUGAAAGUGCAGUCCAAUCAGGAUGUCAGUGAUCCUGCACUAAAGGUGGCCAUCUUUGAUCAGAUCAAUCAGAAACUGCAGGACCAUGUAAUGGCAGAGAACAUCACAGUGAAAUGGAGAGAGCAAGCAGACGGAAAGGUGUUUCACGAGGAAAAAGAAGAGCUCUAAGGCUUUAUCUGUGUCUCGAAUCAUGUAAUUCUCUAGUGCUCUAGUUAUUUUAGGUUGAAUAAUAUGUUCACUCUGGGGAAAUUUCUUGAGAGGUAGUCUUCUAUUUUUCAUUUAGUUGUCUGGGAUUAUUCUUUACACCAAAUUAAGUCAAUCAAUGGAGAUGCUUUUUUCUUUUUCUUUUGCAGAUACAAUGCUGUUGUAGCUCACAUGUAAUGAAAGUCUAUCUAGCUCAAUGUACACCCAUUACUUUACAUAUUCACAUCAAAUGACAUGCAUAACAAUUUUAAGUUUCAUUAUCUUGUAUAUGUUUUUUAUUGCUUUCCUCAUCAUAACUAUUAACGAGCCCUUUCUAUUCCUGAUGAAGUAGACUCCAUGAUGUAAAUAUAAGUGAACAAUGUGCAGGUCAUUUCCCUCUGAGCUACAUCUGCAGAGGUUCUAUUCUGUUUCUCUCAUCACCACUUAUCACUAAAACUCUGAUGUUUUGUUGCUCUGAAACAAUCUCUACUGUAAAAAGCUCUAAAAAUACUAUUCAAUUGACAGCUUCUGUAUUCAUCAUGAUAAACAUGUUAUUGCAUGGACAGAGUAUAACAUCAAAUGUCUCAUCAAAUAAUACUUUACACUUUUCUGUAUCUUAACUAUACAAAAAAAAAAAUCUGGUUUAACUAGGUCUUUUUUUCAAAACAAGUUUUUUUUAUGAAAAUCAGUUGACAAUGGAAAUUUUAGCUGAUUUUGGGAGCAAAAACCUGCAGCCAAUAUGCACGGUUCCUUGAAAGUGUGAGAAAGGAGCUGAAAACUACCAACUCUGAUUGACCUUUUCUUCUUAAUACUAUAGCUUAUAGGAUUGUACUGAUGCAGAAAAUGUCAAAUACAGCACGUUUAAUUCUUUAUUCUGCAACAUACAUGUAACAACAAUAUAGGCUUUGUUUAUAAUCAUUUAAUUAACAGACAAAACAACUUACUGUUAUUGGGUUAUAAGCACUGUAUAGCAUUUAAAUAUAGAAAAAGAAACAUAACUUUUGAGUCCUGUGUUUUUAUUAAGACGAUCAUUUAGGUUAAUUAAACUGGAUGAUAAAGAAGCUGCUUGUUCUUAAGGGGGGGGAAAGGACACCUUAUAGGGACUGUAAUUCUACCUGAGAAAUGCUCAUUGUUUAUUGAUCCAAACUGGGGCCAGGACUGCAUGUAUAAAACUGCUCAUCAUAAAUAGCAAAACAUUAUUAGAAGUCUUACAAAAUUUUGCAAACAUAAGCUAGAGUUUAGCACGGAUUGUGCUUUAUAUAUAGCAUACUUCUUGUGCACUUUUACUGGACCACUGUUUAGGCCACACAAAUUAUUUACUGUCAGCUGUGUUAGACGGGAACAGAAGGUGGCCACAUGCAUUUCAAUGA